GAUGAACGCUGGCGGCGUGCCUAAUACAUGCAAGUCGAGCGAACAGACGAGGAGCUUGCUCCUCUGACGUUAGCGGCGGACGUGUGAGUAACACGUGGAUAACCUACCUAUAAGACUGGGAUAACUUCGGGAAGCCGUAGCUAAUACCGGAUAAUAUAUUGAACCGCAUGGUUCAAUAGUGAAAGACGGUUUUGCUGUUACUUAUAGAUGGAUCCGCGCCGCAUUAGCUAGUUGGUAAGGUAACGGCUUACCAAGGCAACGAUGCGUAGCCGACCUGAGAGGGUGAUCGGCCACACUGGAACUGAGACACGGUCCAGACUCCUACGGGAGGCAGCAGUAGGGAAUCUUCCGCAAUGGGCGAAAGCCUGACGGAGCAACGCCGCGUGAGUGAUGAAGGUCUUCGGAUCGUAAAACUCUGUUAUUAGGGAAGAACAAAUGUGUAAGUAACUAUGCACGUCUUGACGGUACCUAAUCAGAAAGCCACGGCUAACUACGUG
rnacentral:rRNA from 1 species